rnacentral:tRNA from 1 species
AGCAAUAUAGUGUAAAUAGGUAACAUAUGGCCCUCAUGAGGCUAAGAUUACUAGUUCAAUUCUAGUUAUUGCUU